rnacentral:tRNA from 1 species
GCACCGCUGGUGUAAUGGUAUCAUGCAAGAUUCCCACUCUUGUGACCUGGUUUCGAUACCUGGGCCGUGCA